UAGCAAUACAAACAAAGUCUGUUUUUAACUUUGGAACGUCUGGAGAAUAUCACGUGGGGACAAUGUGGAUGGGGAGUGGUUGAAAUAGGGGCAGGGACUUUGAAGUCCCGCCCAGUCAAAUCGUAAGAAAACACAACGUGCUCAAAAUAAAUAAGUUAACGCUAAAUAUCGUCGUAUUGUGAUAGUUAGCCUUCUACCACCAUGUCUAUUUGUCGUCCCUCCAACUGAAGUGAGACCCAGCCUAGGCUACAGUGCACAUGAAGCAGACGGGCUGCAUUAGGUCCACUGAGUGGACUCCACUCCAUACAAUCUAUGAAGUCAUGGUCAGGAUGAAGGAUAAGGGAGUUAACGGCCGGAGGUGGAACAGCUGGUCCAGUGGUGCAGUCAGAACCACCUGGAGGAUCAUUGGAGCUGACCUUCCCUCCACCCAGGACCUGUACUGGUCCAGGGUCAGGAAAAAGGGCAGCAAAAAUCUCUACAGACCCCUCACAUCCUGUCACAAACUGUUCAACCUCCUUCCCUCUGGUAGGCGAUACAGGGCACUGUUAGCCAAAACCAGCCGAUACAAAGACAGCUUCUUCCCCCAAGCAGUAACUGAACUCUCAGAAAUACCCCCCACCCUUACACUGAACAAAGUCAAUCAACACUGUUCUGCUCAUCUACCUCAUGUGUACUUCAAUCUUACAGUUACAAUAUUGUUAUU